rnacentral:rRNA from 1 species
GACGAACGCUGGCGGCGUGCCUAAUACAUGCAAGUAGAACGCUGAAGGAGGAGCUUGCUUCUCUGGAUGAGUUGCGAACGGGUGAGUAACGCGUAGGUAACCUGCCUGGUAGCGGGGGAUAACUAUUGGAAACGAUAGCUAAUACCGCAUAAUAGCAGUUGUUGCAUGACAACUGUUUGAAAGGUGCAAUUGCACCACUACCAGAUGGACCUGCGUUGUAUUAGCUAGUUGGUGGGGUAACGGCUCACCAAGGCGACGAUACAAAGCCGACCUGAGAGGGGGAUCGGCCACACUGGGACUGAGACACGGCCCAGACUCCUACGGGAGGCAGCAGUAGGGAAUCUUCGGCAAUGGACGGAAGUCUGACCGAGCAACGCCGCGGGAGUGAAGAAGGUUUUCGGAUCGUAAAGCUCUGUUGUAAGAGAAGAACGAGUGUGAGAGUGGAAAGUUCACACUGUGACGGUAUCUUACCAGAAAGGGACGGCUAACUACGUG